UACGGUAGGGUGCAAGCGUUGUCCGGAAUUAUUGGGCGUAAAGAGCUCGUAGGCGGUUUGUUGCGUCGGCUGUGAAAUCCCGAGGCUCAACCUCGGGUCUGCAGUCGAUACGAGCAAACUAGAGUGUUGCAGGGGAGACUGGAAUUCCUGGUGUAGCGGUGAAAUGCGCAGAUAUCAGGAGGAACACCGGUGGCGAAGGCGGGUCUCUGGGCAACACUGACGCUGAGGAGCGAAAGCGUGGGGAGCGAACAGG
rnacentral:rRNA from 1 species